rnacentral:rRNA from 1 species
AACGAACGCUGGCGGCAUGCUUAACACAUGCAAGUCGAACGCUUCAUCGGGGCUUCGGCAACGAUGGGGAGUGGCGCACGGGUGAGUAGCGCGUGGGAACCUGCCCAGUAGUGGGGGAUAACCGAGGGAAACUUCGGCUAAUACCGCAUGCGCCCGGUGAGUGAUCAUCGGGGAAAGAUUUAUCGCUAUUGGAGGGGCCCGCGUCGGAUUAGCUUGUUGGUGGGGUAACGGCCUACCAAGGCAGUGAUCCGUAGCUGGUCUGAGAGGAUG